UUACCUGUAUGCCAGUCACUCCUUAAACUUCUUGUCAGAGCAAACCAUGACAUGCUUUCUUGAUGUCAGGUUAGUUUCAGUUGAUUAAGAAUGUGGAAGGCAAACAGCACAGAUCUGAGAAUGCUCAUCCUAGGAUUUCGGUAUUUUAGACAAAGAUGCAUUGACAGAUUUACGAGUGGUUAUGAAGGCAAGAACCAGCCCCCGUAGCAACCAGUGGAAUGGAGAACAGCAUACUUGUGUAAUUGAAGGCUUUGAAUUGUUCCAUAGGAGAAAAAUGUACCCCUCUAGUUUGCCUUGAUACAGUAAAUUCCCAUUACAACACUCACAGAUCUAACGCUCAACCAGAUAGAAUACUUCUUUUUGACAUCUCCGGCUGUUCCUCCAUUGCUUGUGUGCAUUCAACUUUGGUCCCUGAAACAAAAAAAAUUGCUCUGAGAAAUGGUUUCUGUUAAAACACCACAAAGUUUGGACGUUGGAUUUUUGUGAAGUGCGGUGGUACCACAUCAGCGGGAAUGGAGUGCCCACCUGUAUCGACCAUCGCUGCAUGAGCCCAGCCAUGGUCCAACAGAAAUCACACUUCACCUGACCGCUGAAAAUAACUUUGUACUGAGAGCUGAAGAUAAAUACAUGACAGUGGACCAAAAAUGUUAUGCACAAAGAGGAAUGUGUAAAAUUUCUUGAUGCGGUUGCAUUAAUUAUAGAGCUUGACAAAGAUAACGCUGAAAUAAGUUUGGUCCCUCUUAGAGGGCUAGAAUAGGAAUCUGCUGUGGUAACAAAAAAGUGUAUUCAGUAGUAAAAAUGGCAGUAUAACUGUUCGCUGAUUUUUUUUCUAGUUGAUUUUCCAGUAAAAGUGAGGAUACACCUCCUGGACAAGAUGGCUGACGUAGAGCACCGUCUGGCUGCGGGUACCAGUGAGAAAAUCCAACUGGGCUCUCUACUGGCAGCUUUCCAAGUGGCUCGAGACAUGGUGAUGGCCGAGGCGUGAUGGGAUAUUGUGACUGAGGAAUGCUGGGAGGUAUGAUGUCAUCUCACUUGAUAGUUAUUUCAGUGAUGAGCUUACAGCUUUUGACAAGCCCUCUGGGCCACAUCUUGAAACAUGGAUGUUUCCUGACUCCAACUAGGUCACCAACUUGGGGAUUGCUGCUUAUAACUAUGGGUCUGGUUUUUGAUCCUGGGAUUUGUACGAUAGUCCUCAUUUCUUCAUCUCUAAAAGGACUGACAACUGUUGAGGUUUAUAUAAAUAGUUGAGCUGAACGAGAAGAAGCAUCUAAAGCUUCCUAUUAGGGUAAAAGACCUAAUGUUUAGAGUUCAGAGAGGGAAAUAAAGCCAGAAAUGGGAGUUGCAAGAGGGCGUACAAAAGGAAAAAGAACAUAAAGAAGCUGAGGGAAAAGAGAUCAAAGGGGAUGAGAAUCACCAGUUUGCUUGAAAAUACCUUGAAAUUGCCCCCAUGGACUGUUCAUGCUUGUCAGUUCCUUGCGUAUGAAUGCUCCCCCCUGAAAAUUACCACCCUGGGAAAAAGUGCUUUGGCCCCCUCCCCCACCCCCUGCCUUGGAAAAAAAUCCGACUGAGUCCCAUAAAGCCAGGGAUUUUAAUAUAAUAUAUACACCAUUUACUAUAAUAGAGCUUCUCCAAUCAAGGCUGUUGCCUAGCAACUGAUGGCUGUUGCUAAGGAGACAUUUUACUUUUUUAAUCAUUUCAGAGGGUGAAUGGAGGUUCUCAUCAUAGCAUUUGGACUGUGUCAAUUAACUUUCUUGUACUUUCGGAUAUAAACAGGUUUGGUAAUUUUUCAACAAAUACAAUGUACAGAGUGUUCCGUUUUGCAUUAAACAAGAAAACUGACCUCUUUAAUGUGUAAUUUGUGUUACCUGAUUCAAGUAGAAUGCCCAUUGGUAAUAACCAGGCCUAUCAAAGGUUAGAAUGCCUGCUAGCUCAACAUACAAGUCUUCCCUUCCCCCCCCCCCACAAUUUCACUCAUACAUGUGCAUGUAUUUAUUUCACCAAUUUUGUGGGGACUGAAAAUGUUACUGGGCCAGAGAAUAAUGUUGUAACAAGUCACUAAAUUUGGUGUCAAGUUGAGUCAUUUUAACAUUGUGACUCGAGUCAUCAGGUCAAAAAGUUGAAUCACUGUAGUUGAAUCAAGUACCGAGCUUGAGUCAAUUUGAGUCACAAAUUUGUCAACAAAAUACUUUGGUAUACAUGUAUUUAUUUUCAUUUAGACUCACUGAAAAUAAGUGAAAAUUUUGCUUUUCAUUCUUUUGAGACUCGAGUCUUGUAAGCUUGUACUCUCCUCAUGAGACUCAAGUCAUUUGGUCACAGGCUUGAAUCAAGUCAUUCGCCAAUUGGGAGUUAAUUUUGACAAGUCAGACUUGAUUAAAUGCCCCAACUCAA
rnacentral:lncRNA from 1 species